rnacentral:rRNA from 1 species
CUACGGGCCGCAGCAGUGAGGAAUAUUGCACAAUGGGGGGAACCCUGAUGCAGCAACGCCGCGUGGAGGAUGACGCAUUUCGGUGUGUAAACUCCUUUUAUAUGUCAAGAAAAUGACGGUAGCAUAUGAAUAAGCACCGGCUAACUCCGUGCCAGCAGCCGCGGUAAUACGGAGGGUGCAAGCGUUACUCGGAAUCACUGGGCGUAAAGGACGCGUAGGCGGGUUAUCAAGUCAGGUGUGAAAUCCUACAGCUUAACUGUAGAACUGCACUUGAAACUGGUAACCUAGAGUAUGGGAGGGGCAGAUGGAAUUAGUGGUGUAGGGGUAAAAUCCGUAGAUAUCACUAGGAAUACCUAAAGCGAAGGCGAUCUGCUGGAACAUAACUGACGCUAAGGCGUGAAAGCGUGGGGAGCAAACAGGAUUAGAUACCCCAGUAGUC